GACAAUUUACUGAAGACAGAGUUCUCCACACUUACAAAGACUGUAGGAAACGAGUAAGAGAUCCAGCCUCAAACUAACGUAGAAUACAGAAACACUAGUACUUACAGUUGAAUAGAUAAUCAUUUCUACAGGUUCAGAUAGGUUAAUAGUACAGAUAAUUCUAGCAGCAUCUGAAUAUGGUCUUCAGUUCUUUACACAAAUGAAGUCAUUUAAAGAUAUUAUCUGUGCCACUUUCCAUUCUGUGUACCUAAGAAACUUUGGUAAGGUCACAGGUGAGACAUCACGUCCAGAAGGACUCUUCUCAUCUGAGCCACUGUUGAAUUCUCCUGGAGAAUAUUGCUUUAGCAAAUAUAUCCAUAUUUGACUCAAACAUGGGUUGAAACAACCCAGCCUUUUGUAGAGUGUGAAAACUACAUCCACACAGAGCACUGAAAUAAACUUCUACACAUGAUUCAUAGUCAAGUGUGUGGAUACAUGUAAUGUGUUAUUGACCUUCAUGACCUUAGACACAGCUGUCUUUACAUGUCUCAAACAGCCAUCAUAAGGGCAGAAUAAUAAGAGUUCAAACUUAGUUCUUUCUACAAAAUAUGACUCCUGGUUAAUGUACUUGUAUGAGCAAAUUAGGGCCCGUCCACACGGAGAUGUGUUUAGCUGUAUACUGUAAGGAACCCCCCAUCGGCCCAAAAACGGAAUCCGACGGCCUGGGCGAAGGUUAACACGUGUAUGUCUUUUCAGCACCCUUGUGAAGUUCACUUAAUUUCACUCGUUUAAUCUGACUCCAAUUUCAAAUGAUUAUUAGUCUUAGGUUGUGUUUACAAUUAGAAAUGAAUCAUUGGUUAUGUAUUAAUUUAGAUAUUUGAUUAUUCUAGGUAUCCCAUACUUUCAAUUAUUCGUUCAUUACGGACCCAUAUCACUUAGAAAAGUCACUUCGGCCGAUUUAGUGCAUUUCACGAUCACAAACUCGCCAGUUCUGAUUCUUAGUCAGAGGGUGCAGAGUUUACUAAUGCAUUUGAGUCGAACCGCCACAUGCUUCUUCAUACAAAAACACAGUUUUCUUAGUCAUGAUACUGCUGUAAUGAAUCGUCACAUCGGCUGGGAUCCAUUUGCAUGCUUUAUUGAACAAGAGCGUAGUCGUACAGGCAGGGUAGAUCAGGAGCAAACAGGUAUGAUAUAGGGCAGGCAGAAUUGUAGACAGAUAACAGGCAAUAGUCAGGGCUGGCAGAUAACACUCACUGAUCAGGAUACAAAGCACACAUCAGGGACAGGCAGCAGAGGUUCGUAAACGAUAAACAACAGAAUCAGCAACGGGUAAUCAGUCAGACAGAAUAAUAACGCUCAGAAUUGUACACCACUGCAAUACAAGACUUCGCGACUGACUGUGGGAAACGUGAGUCCUUAUAUAGUCCAGUGAAUGAGCUACAGCGGGCAGGUAAUUAGUCCGGGGUGAAGGCUGAUGGGAAAUGUAGUGUAUGUGUAAAAAAGCCCAUGUUCAGUUUGUGUUCUUUUCUUAUAAGGGCUGUACAGCUGUUAUGUUGGUCAUUGAUUUGAAUUGAGAGGGCGUGGCUUGUUUGGCGGUCGCGCGAGAGCGGAUUAGUUUCAAUGCGUGAUCAGCAGAGUGAAAGCAUAGGUCCUGCAGUCUUCUCUGAAAAGCAGCAAAAUUAUGCAAAUGAAGAUCUUUUCUGUAGCGACUUCACUUUGUGAACUGCAGGGGGAAUAUUUGUGAUCUCGAUUGGCAGUGGAUGAUGCUUAAUUGUCUCAGACUUCUCGUUGAAGUUUCCUUCAUGACGAUUCUGGAAUGUGCGUCAUUGAAGACCGUGAGUUUCAUUUUGAGUGUUCAUUAUAUUAUUAUUAUGCCAUUUAUUCACUGUUUAACUUGAUAUACCGCUGCUAGAUUAUAAUUUAUGUAAAUGAGUGUGUUUCCUUGAUUAUGUGAAGUAUAGUAUUUUUAUGAUGGCGAGAAUGAUCGGCAAUUAUACAACUACAAUGACGCAGCAAUUUCUGUUGUGCUGUUAAUGUCAUCGCACAUUUACGCAGUUUUCUGUUACUGAUUAAGUUUAUUUGCUUAUUAUAGAACCACAUUUAGAGUCAUAUACAGCAACGGGAUAAAUCAAUAAAGCACAUAGACUUUGCAAUCUUCAUCGCCGACGAUACAUCGUGCAUCAGGGCACCUGAGACUGCAGCUUAACGACCAGCUUCACAUCGCUAUCCUGACAUCUGAGCGCCUUAAAGAACUGCAGAGACCAACACGGACUGUUGCACUCAUUGUUUUCACUACAUAUUUGUGAAACCAGCCUCCAUCUGUAUCCUUGAAAUCCAAAUCUGUUAAAUAAUUCAGUUUAUUAUUUUGCGUAGGCCUACGCUCUUUAUAUGUAUGUUUUAUUUGCUAUUUUGUGAUCUAUUUUGAUGGUGAAUAUGUACACAGUGUAUUUGAUUAUUGAUAUUCAACAUCUUAAAGAGUAAAUUAGUACAAUUUAGUACCACUGCCUCCUCUUUCUUUCUCUCGUGGCCAUUGGACAUCAGAUGUGGUAAUCGACUCUCUGAGACGGUUGGCACCGUAGUAGUAAUUGGUGCAAUACAGUUCCUUUCAAACAUAAAAUGGUCCUUCGAGCCGGAUGUUAUAACCGUCUCAGCAAUGAUGUCCAGACCCAGAGAGAAAAUGGUAGAAGAUGAGGUAGUCAGGCCACGCAGAAUUACUCGACAACCGUUGUAUCUUCAGGACUAUGAGGUUAGUUAUCCUCAGAGACAACUUACAUUUGCAGAUGAGCAGGUUAAUGCUGUAAUAAAUGCUGAUGUUCUCUCUUGUAUUCGUGAAAUGAGAGAGGAGAGCAAGCAGCUGCGGAAAGACAUGCAACGCAUUUCAGAUAUAAUCGCUAGUUCUCCUGUAUUAGCUCAGCCACAGGUUUCAUCACCUUCGCAGUGUUCUCUUAGUGCAGAGGAUGGGGUUUCUUCUACACCAGUAGCUACUAGCAUGUUGGUCUCACGGCAGAAAGAUCAAAAUCCUAAUCAAUCUGACCAUGUUCCAUUGGUGCCCCCUAGGGAUGAGUCCCUGCACGCACGUUGUGAUAGCCAUCAAGAUCUUAUUGAAGAUCUUACUAAUCAUCUAAAGAGAGUAGGCAGGCUGAGUGGUAGCCAUUUAGAUUCAGGCCAGUCAACACCUCAGUAUACCGAACCUCCUAAUAGUGAGAAUGACUCACCGCAACAUGUUCCUGGUCAUAGUGCUAAUGUCCAGGGUUUGCAGCAUCGUCAGUCUGAUUCUCCUUAUCGCCAGUCAGAGUAUGCCAUGUCAUUGCAACCCAGUCCUCCAUUCUACCCACCUCGAGAUUUCAGUCUUUCUCCUGCAGAUGCACAUACUUCUCAUUCACAUUCAGAGUAUCGGCCCAUUAGAAAUCUUCGUGAUCCAUGCUUUGGAGACAGACUGCAGCCUUCACAGAGAACUGCCUUAUCUGAUCAUUCCAAUCCUUAUCUUCAACGGGAUCGGAGAACGGACCACUAUCGUGGCAAUGAACGGCUGUAUCCCUCUGAUCGCUCAUACCCAUUUUUGGAUCAAGAUCUUAACCGUCCUUGGCACCCACUGCCAGUGCAAUAUCGUGGGCCUACACCCACAAUCCCAGAUUUCAUUCAUGAUGAUCCACGAGAGUUCGCCAGACUUAAGCUCGCUUUAGACAAUGUUCUGCCUGAUGAUGCUUCUGAAUCUUUUAAGUUUCAGAUACUCAUGGAUCAUUUGAAAUUGGAAGAUGCUUUACUUGUUGCAGAUUCUUACAGUCACAGCCGUUGUCCUUUCAGUGACACUAUGCAAGCUCUUACCGACAUGUAUGGACAACCACAUCAGCUGGCAUUGCAGCGGAUCACCAGCUUAAUGAACGGGCCUAAUGUCAAAAGUGGUGAUGUCAAAGCUUUCAAGGGAUUUGCUCUUCGUGUUCGGGCCUUAGUCGGAAUGUUGAAUCAGUUGGGUAGCCUAGGCUGGACUGAGUUGAAGUGUGGUUCUCAUGUAUCUCGCCUCUUAGCUAACUUACCUUAUGACCUAAGAGCCAACUUUAAGAGAUUUGUUAACCCCCUUCAUACUCCCAUUCCUACUUUACUUGAUUUGGCAGAUUGGCUUGAAUAUGAGGUUCGCGUGCAAGUGGAGGGAACCCAGUACGGUACAUACCCUGAUCAUGAGAAGCAUAGUUUCCGCAAAGAGAAGAAGCCUGGAUUCAUGCCACGAAAGCUGACCACUGUUCUGCAUGGGGGAGAACAGAAGCAAGUGCCAACUGAGAAUCCUAAGACGGGGACAGCGUCCUCUGAAAGGAUACAGGAGAAGCCCAAAAGGUAUUGUCCAUUCUGUGAUACCACUCAGCAUUACAUGAAUCAGUGCUCAAACUUUAAGCUCUUGAACAAGGAGCAAGUCGAGAAUUGGAUCAAGAUGGGCAAUAGAUGCUGGAGAUGUGGCCGAAGUCAUCAGACCUCAAAGUGUACUUUGAAAGCGAAGUGUAAGAAAUGUGAUAGGAGACAUCUUGAGGUUCUUCAUGAUGUUAAUGCCAAUUCUGAGUCUAGCAGGAGAGGCAACAUCAGAGAGUCAGAAGGGAGUGCAUGCCCCAUAAGUUCCACUUCCCAGACCUUGUAUCUUGACCGCCCCACAAGCGGAAAGCAAGUGUUACUUAAACUGAGUUGGGUUGUGAUUCAGAAUGGUGACAAGUCGCUAGAGACUUUUGCGGUACUGGACGACGGAUCCGAGCGAACGAUUCUGCUGCAUGAGGCCGCUCAACGUUUAGGCCUUCAAGGUACCGUUGAAGACCUAGCACUUCGUACUGUGAGGCAUGAGGUUCACACAAUCCGUGGAAGUUCGGUGUCCUUCUCUAUAGCUCCAGCCUCACAACCUGACAAAUCAUUCCCCAUUCAUAGAGCCUUUACGGCUAAAGAGCUGGGUCUUGUCCAACAUACUUAUCACAUCACUGAUUUGCAGCGCAAGUACCGCUAUCUUAGAGAUCUGCCCUUGCAUGAUAUCAAUCAAGCCCAACCAUUAGUGCUUAUUGGAUCAGACUAUCCACAUUUGAUCACGCCUGUGGAGCCAGUGAGAUUGGGGCCUAAAGGAGGACCAGCAGCUGUGCAUACAAGGCUUGGGUGGACGUUGCAAGGUCCAUCCAGGUUCCUUUCUCCUCGUCUUCGGCCGCAGGAGUGUCUCUUUGUUUCUUGUGUGACACCAGAUUCUGAACUCUUUAACCAGGUUGAAAGGCUGUGGAAACUGGACGUUCUGCCUUACCGGUCUGACAAGAUAGUCAGACGCUCACGACAAGAUGCAGAAGCCCUCCGCAUUCUGGAAGAGAAGACCAUCAGAAUUAAUGUGGAUGGAGUAAAUCGAUACGCUACCCCAUUACUCUGGAAAGAGUCACUUCCCCCAUUGAAUGCACCGAAGGAAGCUGUAAUGGCUCUCCUAUGUAGUACAGAGAGACGACUAUCCAGAGAGCCACAAAUGGCCACUAAUUACAAUGCUGAAAUUCAGAAGUUGCUGCAGGCAGGCUAUGUCACCCCACUAUCAUCUGAGGAGUGUGGAUUGAGUCCUCAUUCAUGGUACAUACCACACCAUAUGGUCCAUCAUAAUGGUAAGGACCGUAUUGUAUUCAAUUGCUCCUUCGAGUUCCAAGGCCAGUCUCUAAAUGAGUACCUCUUACCUGGGCCAACUCUUGGGGCAAGCUUGUUGGGAGUUCUCCUCCGCUUCAGGGAGCACCCUGUAGCUGUCUGUAGCGACGUGAGAGGAAUGUUUCAUCAAGUCCGUCUCCUUGAUGAAGACAAGCCUUUCCUCAGAUUUCUGUGGCGUAAUGGCAAUACUGCUGAGCCUCCAACAGUCUAUCAAUGGGAAGUAUUGCCCUUUGGAACCACCUGUAGUCCCUGUUGCGCUACAUUUGUCCUUCAGUCCCAUGUCGGGAACUACCUUCAACCCACAGACGAUGUGCGUCAAUCUGUUGAACGCAGUUUCUACGUAGACAACUGUCUAAAAAGUGUCCCAGAUGAAGCACAGGCUGAGAAACUAGUAAACAGACUACAGCACCAUCUAAUGGAGGGCGGAUUCGAGUUGCGACAAUGGGCCAGUAAUGUUCCUACGGUCAUUCGCCACUUUCCUUCUGAGCUGAAAUCCCAGAGCAGUGAAAUCUGGCUUAGUCAAGGAACAGCUAAUCCUCAGGAACGUACCCUUGGACUGAUCUGGCAUUGCAAAUCUGACACUUGGGCAUACAAACCAUAUCAGAAGGAGGAAGGUGAAACCACCAUGCGCAAGAUCUACCGCACACUUGCAAAGCAAUAUGAUCCCCUUGGGUAUUUGAUCCCUUUCACUACAAGGGCUAAGAUCAUUGUGCAGCUGCUCUGGGACAAGAAACGUGGCUGGGAUGAUCCUUGCCUCCCUGCUGAUUUACUUGCCGCUUGGCAGCAGUGGGAGAGUGAGCUCCCUCAGUUGUCCCAGAUCUCUCAGCCAAGAUGCUACAGCUCCAGCAUCCAGCAUGCAAUCAAGAGUCGCAGCGUUCAUGUAUUCUGCGAUGCAUCUGAGAGAGCCUAUGGCUCUGUAGCAUACCUGAGUACUGAGGAUGUUCAAGACAGUAUGAAUGUUAGUACUCAGGUGAGGGCUCCCUCCGAUGGCCAGAGGAGGGAGCUACGGAGUUCGUGACAACUGCAACUUGCUAAGCCAGUUGAUAGACAAAAUCAAAAAGUCCCAUGAUGUGCUCACAUGGUCCUUUCAUGGGCCUUUAGUUUGAAUCUAUCCUGACGCAGAUUUGCGGAAAUAUGAACUCCAAUAAUCUACUGGUCAUAAUGAUUUCAGAAGAAUCCAGAGUAAAUCAAAUAUAACAUUUUAUUUGUCAAGUAAAAAUGUAUCAUGCCAAUUACAUGGUUGGACAAUUAGAAGCCAAUUCAGAAAUAAUAAAUGCAUAACAUCAACUGAAAUGCACAUACACACAGUGAUGUGUGAGUGUCUUCAGACAUUCACCCAUCUUCUGCAUGGGGGCUUCUGGCUACAGAAGAUCCCCCAUGACUGCUUUGAACUUUACCUUAUAUACCAAGACCAGAACAAAAGGAUUGUACAUUUUUAUUACACUAACACCUGUUUUGGGGGGAGAGGAGUGGGUUUUCACCCUAGUCAGACACCUCUACAUCACGUAACAACAACAGUGGACUACAGCUUUUGUUAGUGCCGCAGAAGCUACUGAGCCUAUUAGCUUUACUAAAAUAAAGCUUUAUUUCUAAGCUUUACUAAAGUUUGUAUACAGCGCACAAGGUUUAUGCACAUGCUCCAAGUCUUAUUCUCCAUUUCUAGUGAAUCUAUGUGGCAGAAUUACAGCGCCACAUACUGAUCUGGCAUGUAUAUUACAUCGUUUUGAGUUGGUUUCAGUGGUUUCAGGUGUACGCAGAUAUUUCUGGAUAAAUACAUAAAGCAAAUCUGCCUGUGAAUAUUUUGUAUAACUACAAUAUAGAUAUGUUUAAAUCCAAGUAAUCACUUAUAUCAAUGUUAUAUAUAUCGUCAUAUUGUCCAGCCCUAAAACUUGUAUAGUUAUAAAGUAAAAUUUAUUCUCAGGAAGUCAGGCUAAAUGAGUAAACUUUUAUUACAUUCUUGACGUGGGUCAGAAUCUCAUAUACAAAAUACAGACAUUGAUGUGUCAGUUGUGGCUUAAAUCAGUGGUUCCCAAAGUGGGGAUCGCGAGAUGAUUUCCAGAAAUCAAAAAAAAAAUUUUUUUUUAUUAAUGAUUAGAAAUAGCAUAUUUUAUCAAUAAUUGUAAGAAAAAAAAUGCUAAAAAUAGUAGUUCUGUCAUGACAACUCUCGAGGGUUUGGCAUGGUAAUGGAUAUGACAAUGUAGAUAUAUUUGGCCUUGGCGGAAUAGAUCUGCUACACUGCUGCUGCUUUAUUGCUGCAGAGGGCAAGAUGAUGAUUCACCCUCACCCCCCAGCAGAUCUACCGCCACAACAUAUGUACUGCUGCUCCGAAGAGCCAUAGGAACUAUGCUGUAUGCUAUCUAUGUGUGCCUGGCCCAUUUUGCCACAACUAAGUUAUUCUGGGCUGUAAGGCUUGGCUCUAGUGGCCUAUUGGACUAUGUGUGCCUGGGCUACCACACCAGUGGCUUAGCUCUAGUGGCCUAUGUCUAUGUGUGUCUGAGCCAAAAGGCUCAAACAUACCAAUUAGAAUGCGCAUUAUGUGUGGCUUUAACAAAUGGUAAAACGUUGCAGGCUAAUAGAGAUAAGAAACCCUCCACAACCACCUGAGCAAAUAAUAGUAUAAUGAUGUACCAUUGUUUGAUAAUGUCCUUGUCAAACCCUGUAUACUCCUAAGAAAAGUAAACUCAUUCGGAUGAACAGGAAAUGAAUGAGCAUAACUCCAACAUGCAUCAGCUGACCCAGCCCGAAACACAUAGGUACAUGAAACAUCAGCCUUGAAGAGUUGUUGAAGUUGAGCAAUACUGUGAAACAUUUAGAUUUACAUGUUAUAAUAUGAAUGAGAUUUCAAUAGAAACUCAAUAUUUUGAAUUAAUAUUCUAUCUUGUCUGAGUUGCAUGCUAAUGCAUUAAUAUUAUAUCUUUGUCCCAUAUGCAAUGGUUAUGUCAGUCGAUGCAAUUUGACAGUGAAUCCCAUAACAUCACUUCACAGCGUGCAACCGACUGUCGGUCCUCACAGAUAAACACAAAUGAAAUGGCCACGAGAGCGUGUAGAACGUUCACUUAUCUCAGUAGCGAACUCAAAAGUUCUGCUACGUAAAUGAGCUGACCACCACACUGCAAAGUGUCUCCUAUUUACGCUCCUGUUAAUGAAUACCUCGGCAUUUUAAGCAGAGAGCAAGAUUUCUGACAGACAUGCAGCCACUGCUCAGAUCAACAAAGCGUGUCCAUAAUUCAGCCACACUGCCUGCCGCUGCAACACGCCGCAUAGAAAAUACCUAAUGUUAUCCAGAGCGCAACACAAAUUAUACUAUACAGAUUAUGACACAAAUACAUAAUAAGCAUCAACUGAGGCACUCUUGCUUCGUUUGAAGAAUACAUGGAACUGCCUUGGCACGCUCUAAGGUAAGCAGAAAUUAUAAGUAUCAUUCUACGUGAAAUCCAUUAAUUAAAUGGCUUACUGACCUUGCAAAAUCACUGUUCGUCCUGUAGUAUGAAAAAGUAUAUGCCCAAUAAAAUCUGAAUACAGCUGCUCACGUACUUAGUAUACAAAUAAAUAGAAAACAUUGUUUGCAUUUUAAUCAUGACAUAUUCACAUUGCAUGAUCAACUCAUUAGCCGACACAAACUCCUCUCACUCAAUAGCGACAGGUAACUUUAGGCCUGCACGCACCGAACGUCUGCUGCGUUCUAUGUUGUUGAUAUUCGUUCAUUGCUAUCUGAAUUAGUUCUCCAUACUGCUGCUGCACAAAAUAUUUGCUGUAGCUUUGUUAGAAUAUAAAUACAAAAGCGAAUCCUGUUCCAUUUAAAGUUCAGCAAGCUUGUCUCUGUAUCCUUAUAAAACAUGCAUGCGCUAGCUGCUAAUAUAGUAAUUCUCUAUAAGCAUUAAACAGACUGUUGAUAUGACAUAGAACUGAUAAAUCAGAUUAUGCACAAACGCACAGUGAUAGUAUAAGAACCCAUGUACUUAUCUGAAGCACGCUGCACUGCUAAGCAAUGCUAAAUCAUGUAUUUAAAGAUUAAGCAUGCAGCUCAUUGGCUACUAAUACAGCAGGAACCAAUCAUCUGUGACCUAUAGAUAAUGAUGUGAUAAUUAGCAGGUUGUGUUAAAGGACCUAUUAGCCUGCCCAUUAGAGUUUCAUGCCAGAACUUUGUAUUUCAAUAAAAAAACAAAAAACAAAUAAAAAACAGUUAUCAACCUUUUGAUUUUCCUUCCCCUCGACCGUGACUCCUGAGGUGAUUAUGACAGAUUAACGACAUAUUAACAACAGCAUCAGUUGUAGCAGGUCAAUUUACAGCACCAUGUUAAACAUGCCGACAAGUGCAUGUAGGUAAUUCUUUAGGUUUUGGAUAUUAUUAUUUUUGUUGAAAUGAAACGUUGGUUAAUAUCGACCAAAGACAACGCAGGGAGGAGAGCGGAGAAGCAGUCAUGCCUUUGCAGAAGAUACGCGGAGCAGCACGUGCUACUGUGCUUUCACAUAUGCCGCGUUUGCAGUACGCAACUGAUCCAUGGCCGUUUAUCACAAACACAACAUUUACUUAUUUUUAUUUCAAAUCCAGAAGUUGUUACUGAACAUGGCUUGUCAGCAUUGCGAUUCUCUUUGUAUACACUGUAUUUCAUAGAUGUAUUUCGUUUAAACGCACUACAUUUAAACGUUUUAUUCAAUUUAUUACUUUAUAUUUAUAUAGUGUCAUUUGAUUUAUAUUUUACGUUGCUCACGCAAGUGGCAAAACAUUUAAACAUAAGCUUUAUGUGAAAAUCACAAACACCUUAAAUUAAAACUUAAAAUAGACAAAAACAGGCGACUCUCUUUUUUUCCCCUUUCCUUUUAAAUCUUUUUACAAGAAAUCCCCCAGGUCAUAAAAAAAAAACUUUGUUUUUCCACCUUCAUGAAGAGAUGAGUGCUAUCUUUAUGUCUUCUUGUUCACCUAAAUGCAAGGUAAGGUGCCAUUUUCCUUGCUUUACCCGAGGCAAAAAAAAUUGUUGUGUAACAGAGACUUUAAAUUAUAUGCAUCUGUGGUGAAAUUAGACCUUUAUCAGUCCAUUCAAAUGUUUCAAAUACAUAGUCAAAAUAUACAUUAUAUUUAACGUAAAUAAAUAAACUAACGUUAAACAAAAUGCGUGUUUUUGGGGGGGUUGACCAGCGUACAAAAUGUGAGACAAAGGCGCUUCCUUGAUUGUCUCAUUAAGAUGACGCUGAAAUGCAUUCGAGAACAAGAGUUUUUUUGAGCCCUACACCCUUCAUCCCUUCGAAGCUCUCACUCCGGAGGGUAAACCCUUUGAAGGGAUUAGGGCAUAGGGAUCAGCCCUUCUGAAUGGAACACAGUGAGGGUUAAUCUUCAGAAGAGAAGUAAAUUGCGCUGCUCUCUUGUGAGAAAUGAAUCAAACGGACGCUCUCCAUUCUCCGUGUGAUUGGCUGUUUGCCGCACGUGUCACACUUUCAGGUUCACGCGCUUAAAGGCAGGAACACACCAAGCCGACGGUCGGCCGUCAGGCAGUUUUUGUUUGUCAGCCGACUAAGUUUUCUCAGUGUGUUCCUCACUGUCGGCUGAAGUUGGUCCCCUUCGGCUUGCUUUUGGCCGAUUCGACAUGUUGAAUCAGCGUCAGAGCUCGUCGGUCUGUCGGUCCAUCUGAUCAUUCUGAUUGGCUGUUCAGCUACUGCCACCUGCUGGUACGGAAAGGCAUUUCAUCUUACGCAGGCACAGAACGGACGUGCUACUUCGCUGUCGGCUGUUGGUUUGGUGUGUCAGGCCAACUUUGGAUCCAGAUGCUGCUGACGUGACCCAACCCCGCAGUCUAAUUUCAUCGCCACUAGUUCGUCAGCGUCAGCUUGGUGUGUUCCUGCCUUAAGAGUUAAUCAAAAAAUCUGGAUUAAACCUGAGUUGACACAGAAAGUUUAUACCGAGCGUUGUGCAAAAUCUGAUCCUGAAUUAAACCAGCUUGGAUUUAUCUGGAUUUUCAACUCUAAAUCUACUCUGAAACUCAGAGUUUGUUCAACUAGGUUCAUGCAACAGGCCACAGCUGGUGAUGCUGACUUUAUGGCAUCAGAUACAGGUCACUUUACUCACAGCUGAUUGGUCGAGUUUGGGUUUGUGAUCUCUAACCCAGAAUAAAUCCUGCUCCAGAGCAGAUUAGCCGUGUAGCGUAAGUUACCAUAUCAAUGAAACCCGCUAAAACCAAUCCACCUUCAUGAGCCUGAAAAACAGAGUUUGCUCAAAUUAAUCUUGAACUUACUUGUGUAGAAACUGAAACCAUCUUCGUGCAACAGGCCACAGGAACACAGUAACACAAUGAAAGUAAACAGACUCAUAGCAUUAUGAUUUCCAAUUCAUUAUAUAAUCCAGUAAGAGGGAUUGUAAAUCCACUCCAGCAGUUACUGAGAACUGUCUGAUUGACUGACUAAAAACUGUAAUGAGUUUAGUUAUGAAGAAGACAAUAUAAAACUAGUGUAAUAUUAGUGUGAUAUGUAUUGUGAAAAGCGCUAUACAAAUAAAUGUGAAUUGAAUUGAAUAUUACAUUAGAAUUGACACAGUGGCGUUAUUAUUGACUGGGUUCCUCCUGUUGUAUUGCAGGUUUCCUCUCACAAAUAUGAACUCUAUGCCAUAGUAAACCAUUCUGGCAAAUAUGAUCAUAGUGGACACUAUUAUGCUGGCUCAGAUCGUAAUGGAUACUAUUAUGCAGACAUCAAAUGUGAAGAUGGAAUCUGGCGUCAAUUUAUUGACCACAGAGUCUUAAAGACUCCCAGUGACGAGCACCCCACACUCAGGAGUUUAUAUGCCUAUCUACUCGUGUACAGACGCAGAGAGUAAAACUCCCAGUGACGAGCGCCCCACACUCAGGAGUUCAGAAGCCCAUCUACUCGUGUUCAGACAAGUAUAAUCAGCAUGCAGCAUUCAAUAAAUCCAGUAAUACAUGACUUCAGAUUCACAAGAAAACACAUUUAUAAAUCAGCCUAGAAAUCUUGUUCACUGGCAAAUAUACAUUGCAGAAAAGUACCAAAUCAAAACUCAUUUCAUAUUUGAUGACCUUUACACAGUUAUUGAACUGAACUGAAUCAACAUUGAACUGAAUUGAUCUGAAUAAUAACUCUAUUGUCUUCUGUAGAGCUGAUCUACAGCUGAAUCUGAAUUAUUCUCAUAUUUGAUGAAGUUUGAUUCAGUUAUUUUCCUCUUUAUUACUGUGAAGUUGAUUUAAAACAAUCUGUAACAUGAAACAUAUUCAUGCAUUUAUUCAUCUUUCAUGUUAAUCAUUUAAUGAUUUAUGGCUUAUGAUUUUUCAACAUUAUCUUUGAUUUCAUAUACUCAUGUACUCCUACUCCAUAUAUUAAUCCUCAUCAUAUUUUCAAGUAUUUACUCUUUAUUGUACUCAUGGUUACGGUUAUUCUUUCAUCUUUAAGAGAAUGUAUUGUGCUGUAUUCAGUUGUUCUUCAAGUGUUUCAGUGUUCAGGUCAUGUCGACACGUUUGUGGUUAGAUAUUGGACGCCUGCCAUGUACUGCAGAAGUGAUGAUCAUUUUGAACUUGAUGUAUCUUCGUAUCAAAAUAUGUCUGUUUCCAUCUCUGCAGACAUGAGAUAAUGCAAGAUCUGCUUCUGCUUCUUCUCUUCUACCUCUCAUUUCAUUCUGCAAAUAUCUUCCUUCUUCUGUUCUCCCUUUCUCUAUAUUCUGAUCUUCACUCUUCAUCUGUUCCAUACAAUACUCUGGAUUCUAUUAUAAACUAUUAUUUACUUCAGAAAUUUCUUUGUGUCUAUAAUGUGUACUUUAUUAUUCCUUAUUCAGAUUUGAUCUCUGACAUAAUCAUUGCUGGACUGUCUGGAUAUAUAAAUAAAUAAAACAUAAAUAAAAGUGAA